AGAGUUGAUCCUGGCUCAGGAUGAACGCUAGCUACAGGCUUAACACAUGCAAGUCGAGGGGCAGCAUUGGAGUAGCAAUACUUCAGAUGGCGACCGGCGCACGGGUGAGUAACACGUAUCCAACCUGCCGCUUACUCGGGGAUAGCCUUUCGAAAGAAAGAUUAAUACCCGAUGGUAUAAAGAGUUCGCAUGUUCUCUUUAUUAAAGAAUUUCGGUAAGCGAUGGGGAUGCGUUCCAUUAGAUAGUUGGCGGGGUAACGGCCCACCAAGUCUACGAUGGAUAGGGGUUCUGAGAGGAAGGUCCCCCACAUUGGAACUGAGACACGGUCCAAACUCCUACGGGAGGCAGCAGUGAGGAAUAUUGGUCAAUGGACGAGAGUCUGAACCAGCCAAAGUAGCGUGAAGGAUGACUGCCCUAUGGGUUGUAAACUUCUUUUAUAAGGGAAUAAAGUGAGGGACGUGUCCCUUUUUGUAUGUACCUUAUGAAUAAGGAUCGGCUAACUCCGUGCCAGCCGCCGC
rnacentral:rRNA from 1 species